rnacentral:tRNA from 1 species
GGUAGGGUGGCUGAAGAUAAAGGCAAUAAACUGUAAAUUUAUUAAUGAGUUAUAAAUUCUCUUACCA